UUUAGAAAAUUUAAGGUUUUCUUAAAUUUCACGGGUUUCUUAAGAGUAAAAAAUAUAGUAGCUCAAAUUAAGUGCUUUUUUGGUCAGUCCUUAUGUGGUUUAUUAUUUACCAUUACAUAAUAAACCAAGGGAAUAAUCUAAUAAAUGAGUAUUUUAGAGAAAGCGAGUUCGAUCUUUGAUGAAAACAUCACUCAAUCACCUGACCAUCUAGUUUAGUGAUCUAAAUUAAUUUAAUAUUAUACAUGAUAUGAGGUAUGAUGGGGCAAAACUAAGCUGUAUUCUGCUGCAUAGCAAAUGUGACAUAAUACUUUUACAUUAUUUUUGUGUUUUUAGUAGUUUACUGAUCAUUAAUUAUUAUUCUUAAAAUGACAAGCUCAUUUAACCUUAUUCUAAAAAAUACUGAAAUUUAAACACAAGUUAGGCAUGGAAUUACACAUUGAUAACAGAAAAGAACAACUGAUCAUGCUGAAGAUUAGUAUAAAAGUGGCAGCUUUUAAUCAAAAUUGUAUUGGAUAAGUUU
rnacentral:lncRNA from 1 species